rnacentral:rRNA from 1 species
GAACUUAGCAGAGAUGCUUUGGUGCCUUCGGGAACUCUGAGACAGGUGCUGCAUGGCUGUCGUCAGCUCGUGUUGUGAAAUGUUGGGUUAAGUCCCGCAACGAGCGCAACCCUUAUCCUUUGUUGCCAGCGGCUCGGCCGGGAACUCAAAGGAGACUGCCGGUGAUAAACCGGAGGAAGGUGGGGAUGACGUCAAGUCAUCAUGGCCCUUACGGCCAGGGCUACACACGUGCUACAAUGGCGCAUACAAAGAGAAGCGACCUCGCGAGAGCAAGCGGACCUCAUAAAGUGCGUCGUAGUCCGGAUUGGAGUCUGCAACUCGACUCCAUGAAGUCGGAAUCACUAGUAAUCGUAGAUCAGAAUGCUACGGUCGAAUACGUUCCCGGGCCUUGUACACACCGCCCGUCACACCAUGGGAGUGGGUUGCAAAAGAAGUAGGUAGCUUAACCUUCGGGAGGGCGCUUACCACUUUGUGAUUCAUGACUGGGGUGAAGUCGUAACAAGGUAAGCGUAGCGAG